rnacentral:piRNA from 1 species
CCGUUGGAUCGAUGUGGUGCUGCCGC